rnacentral:rRNA from 1 species
GAUGAACGCUGGCGGCGUGCUUAACACAUGCAAGUCGAACGAAGCAUUUGCGACAGAUUUUUUCGGAAUGAAGUUGCUUAUGACUGAGUGGCGGACGGGUGAGUAACGCGUGGGUAACCUGCCUUGUACUGGGGGAUAGCAGCUGGAAACGGCUGGUAAUACCGCAUAAGCGCACAAUGUUGCAUGACAUGGUGUGAAAAACUCCGGUGGUAUAAGAUGGACCCGCGUCUGAUUAGCUAGUUGGUGAGAUAACAGCCCACCAAGGCGACGAUCAGUAGCCGACCUGAGAGGGUGACCGGCCACAUUGGGACUGAGACACGGCCCAGACUCCUACGGGAGGCAGCAGUGGGGAAUAUUGCACAAUGGAGGAAACUCUGAUGCAGCGACGCCGCGUGAGUGAAGAAGUAAUUCGUUAUGUAAAGCUCUAUCAGCAGGGAAGAUAGUGACGGUACCUGACUAAGAAGCCCCGGCUAAAUACGUG